rnacentral:rRNA from 1 species
AGUAGUAUGAAGGCCAAGCUGACGACUUUGCUAGACAGACUGAGAGGAGGUGCAUGGCCGUCGCCAGUUCGUGCCGUGAGGUGUCCGGUUAAGUCCGGCAACGAACGAGACCCCCCUAUCUUUUGUUGCUAGCCUGUUUCUUCGGAGACAGGUGCACACGGAAGAGACUGCCAGUGUUAAACUGGAGGAGGAGGGGGCUACGGCAGGUCAGCAUGCCCCGAAUCUCCCGGGCCGCACGCGGGCUGCAAUGGCGAGGACAGCGGGUUCCGACCUCGAAAGGGGUAGGUAAUCCCUUAAACCUCGCCGUAGUUGGGAUUGAGGGCUGUAACCCGCCCUCAUGAACAUGGAAUCCCUAGUAACCGCAUGUCACCAUCGUGCGGUGAAUACGUCCCUGCUCCUU